UACGGGGGGGGCAAGCGUUGUUCGGAAUUACUGGGCGUAAAGGGCCAGUAGGCGGCCAACUAAGUCGGAUGUGAAAUCCCCAGGCUUAACCUGGGAACUGCAUCCGAUACUGGAUGGCUUGAAUUCGGGAGAGGGAUGCAGAAUUCCAGGUGUAGCGGUGAAAUGCGUAGAUAUCUGGAGGAAUACCGGUGGCGAAGGCGGCAUCCUGGACCGGCAUUGACGCUGAGGAGCGAAAGCCAGGGGAGCAAACGGG
rnacentral:rRNA from 1 species